rnacentral:sRNA from 1 species
CUUCAGCAAUUGGGCCAAAUAGUCGGCAAUGCUCUGUGUGCUCUGUUGCUGUUGUUGGGGCGUCAGAUGGGGCACCACCACUUGCGGGGGCUGUUGCUGCUGCUGCUGCUGCUGUUGUUGUUGCUGCUGCUGUUGUUGUUGUUGCUGUGCGACGGCAGCGGCUGCUACGGCGGCGGCAGCGGCUGCUUGUUGCUGCAAUUGCUGUUGCAGUUGCUGUUGCACAACGGCUUUGCUCUCACAAACACUCAUUA